rnacentral:rRNA from 1 species
UGCCCUAGUAACGGCGAGUGAAGCGGCAACAGCUCAAAUUUGAAAGCUGGCCUUCGGGUCCGCAUUGUAAUUUGUAGAGGAUGCUUUGGGGCAGCCGCCUGUCUAAGUUCCUUGGAACAGGACGUCAUAGAGGGUGAGAAUCCCGUAUGUGACAGGACAUGGCACCCUAUGUAAAGCUCCUUCGACGAGUCGAGUUGUUUGGGAAUGCAGCUCUAAAUGGGAGGUAAAUUUCUUCUAAAGCUAAAUACCGGCGAGAGACCGAUAGCGCACAAGUAGAGUGAUCGAAAGAUGAAAAGCACUUUGGAAAGAGAGUUAAAAAGCACGUGAAAUUGUUGAAAGGGAAGCGCUUGCAAUCAGACUUGUUUUGACUGUUCGGCCGGUCUUCUGACCGGUUUACUCAGUCUGGACAGGCCAGCAUCAGUUUUGGCGGCCGGAUAAAGGCUCAGGGAAUGUGGCUCUCACUUCGGUGGGAGUGUUAUAGCCCUGGGUGUAAUACGGCCAGCCGGGACUGAGGUCCGCGCUUCGGCUAGGAUGCUGGCGUAAUGGUUGUAAGCGA